rnacentral:tRNA from 1 species
GAGGGUAUAACUCAGGUAGAGUGCGUGCCUAGCAUGCAGGAGGUCAUGGGAUCAACCCCCAGUACCUCCA